rnacentral:tRNA from 1 species
GCAGUGGUGGUUCAGCGGUAGAAUUUUUGCCUUCCAUGCAGAAGACCUGAGUGUAAUGCCCAGCCAGUGCG